UAGGGAAUCUUCGGCAAUGGACGAAAGUCUGAUGGAGCAACGCCGCGUGAGUGAAGAAGGGUUUCGGCUCGUAAAACUCUGUUGUUAAAGAAGAACAUAUCUGAGAGUAACUGUUCAAUGUGUGACGGUAUCUUACCAGAAAGGAACGGCUAAAUACGUGCCAA
rnacentral:rRNA from 1 species